CUGGACUACAGCCACACCAGUUAUCCUUGAAGACAUUGCUGCCCCAGCCAUGGAGUAAAUAUGGCUCUCCUCUACAAUGAAAAUUCAAACGAACAACCGGCCCUAUGACUACCUGCAGGAGGUGUACCUUUCUUCAAAAUUGCCAAGACCAAGAAGGGAUAGUGCAUCAACCAUCAAAAGAUUAAGCCAACCUUUUGGUUAUGUUCAUGUUCGUGGAACUCAUUCUGGACAAGGUCUUUGGGAACCCUGCAAAGCAGACUGAGGCAAUGUUGGCGUUGGUGCAGUUCA